rnacentral:misc_RNA from 1 species
CAUUAUCUGCGGCAACAGUUGUAAGUCUUAUAGCUGUUGUUGUUGAUUUCCACCCUUGUCUUUUGCGCACCCCCGUUUCCUCGGCUGCUUAGCCAGCCGCUAGGACAUUUUAUAACCUUUUGUACUGUAUAAUCAGCGUCUGAAAAUAUUAAAUUAUUA